AACAUUUCAUUUUCUUUGGAGGUGAAAAGAUGACCAUCUGUUUCUAACAUUGUACCUAAGGGAGCCUGCAAUUUGGGGUUGAGUAGAUUACCAGUUCAUUUACAUAUUACAUUUAGUAUUGUAUUACUUGAUUUCUGCUAGCAUUUCAAAAGACUGGAGAUGAACUUAAUUAUCAGGUGGAUCUUUUCUUAAGAGUCGCCAUUUGGGAAUGUCUGAAAAAAUAUAUAUUUUUUUGAGGUCUUCAUACUAAGCUUAUAGCAUUCUUCCUUUCUACAGACAAGGUAGCAUAGACAUAAUGAGAGGAUUGCUGAGUUGUUCUGUUAGAAGACUACUGGAUAUUUGAAGACUAAUUUCUGAAACCUUUCCUUACUUCCAGAGAAACUUUAUCUUGAUUGAUAUGAAGUCCUGUCUGACAAUGAAAUUAGUACAUCUCAUUUAAAUACAUAAAGUACAAAUUCUGUUAUUAAAUCGAUGAGGUAGAACUUGGUUCGUGCAAGUUUGGGAAAAGAAAAAAUAUUUUUUAAUUGACUUAAAAAAACCAAACAUGGAGAUUAUGUGGUUAAGACCUUCUAUGUGCUAAUUAUAACUUUUAAACCAACAACCCACUCUCAACCAUAUCUCACUAGUGUGAAGAAAUCCGUGAUAUUUUGCCAAUUCCAUGACCUUCAGCACCUGUGCAGAGGAAAUGAGCUUUCCCAUGAUAACUAGGCAGCAAUUCAAAACAAAUCUAAAGAAAGCAUAUUGAAGAAUGGAAGUAACCUGGCUUGGUGAAUGAAGUGUAUACAUAACCCGUGCUCUGUCUUGGUACCUGAAAGGUGUCAUGUACUCCAGUUCUCAGACUGAUACACUGCAGAAAUACAAGAUCCUGUAUGGUGGCUCAAUUGCAGUGAAGAGUUGCCAGAAGUGGUUAACAGAAAACAGGCAUGAAUUGAAUUUUUGGUGAGUAAAUGAUCUAUUUUUUUCUCUUUAAUAGGUACAGCAAAAAAUUGUAUCUUUUCAGCAUGCUUGGUAUUCAAGAACUAUAGCAAUGUAGACAGUGUAAGAACGUGAAUGGAAAAUGCAACUGUACUAUGUGCAUAAAC
rnacentral:lncRNA from 1 species